UACAGAGGGUGCGAGCGUUGUUCGGAAUUACUGGGCGUAAAGGGCGCGUAGGCGGGAUGGUAAGUCGGUCGUGAAAUCCCUCGGCUCAACCGAGGAACGUCGAUCGAUACUACCGUUCUUGAGGAUUGCAGAGGAGACUGGAAUUCCCGGUGUAGCGGUGAAAUGUGUAGAGAUCGGGAGGAACGCCGGUGGCGAAGGCGGGUCUCUGGGCAAUUCCUGACGCUGAGGCGCGAAAGCGUGGGGAGCAAACGGG
rnacentral:rRNA from 1 species